UUACGGAUUGCACCCGACAAAACAUUAGAGAAGAAGAAGAAGCUUACGUCAUUCGACGCGACACUUUCCACGGUCGGAGCUGAUCCGGAUCACAUACACAGGAGUCACUCAUUGAAGAUGAAUCACAGCUGGACAGGGAUCUUCGAAUAAUUGAGAGACACCAUGGUGUAAAACGAAGGUGGCUCCCUUCGGAUGGCAUUUUCCAGAGAACACUGAGAGAUGUUGACCAGGAACUUAGAGGUCAGCUGAUACGACGAGCACAAAAUGAAGCAAGGGAGAGGGCCACUCUUCUCAACCUGAAAAGAAGAUGUAAUGGUAACACUACUUCUUCUCUUGACUGUAUGGUCAUUAGCAAAAUUGAAGCUCAAAGGUCUUGUGGUAAACCUAAAUUUAAUCUUUAUGUUAUCCCUGCACCAUGCAUAUGUUCACUCUAGGUACUUAAGCGUCUUUAUGCAGUGUAAGAAGUGACUGGUUUAUUCCAACUUGUCCUUUGUCAUGGGUAUGUGCUUUUGAUAUGUAUAAGGUUAUUUAUCUUUGGUGUAUGAAUAUGUUUCUUGGGUGUAUCCUGUCUUUCACCUAAUGCCCGUUGUAAAUAGGCACAGAUAAGUGAGUAUUGUAAUACAUCCAUUUUCUAAUGGACAUUCAAUGAUCUUAUACAUUACGGCAGAUAUUAAG